GUAGUUGGUAAACAACAAGUUUUGAGGAGAAAAUAUUAGAAACUCUUGGAGAUGCUCUUAUUAGUUGCCUACGGUAUCCAACUCAUUAGGAUUCCCUAACUGUGAUUCACAUUUAUUUCUUCAUUUUACAGAUUCUACGUUCUGCAGUUCGAUUCACUCUAGAGAGGGUUGUUCCUUACAUGAUCUUUCGUAAAUCUCUACAUUUGGUUCUCCUGCUUGCAUACUCUGCACUUAGAUGUGAUUUCUGCACAAUUUAGGGACACAAUUUAUUCCUUCCUCCCAUCCUCUCACUCUAGAUUAAUUACCUCCACAAUGGGUUGUUUAACCACACUAAAAUCGAUUCGCUCUGUAACGAUCGUUUUUCAUUUGCUUUUUUUGAUUUUUCACAUUUGGGUUACCUAUUGAAAUUAACACUCUGUAUUUGAUUCCCUAUCUCCUUCCUGGUGUUUUUUCCCCAUUCACCAAUAAAUGUGUAGACUAAAAAUAAGAAUAGAUGGUUGAACGAUCUGCGUAAUACUCGGUGUUAUCUAAAUUUGUUCAUCUUUGCAUUUCCAUUUUUGCUAGACACAACUUAUGUCUAUUCUCAUUGGGCAGGUAUAAUUUCCCCUAACUAACCUAUUACCUCUUCUUCUUUAUUCUUUCUUUUACUUCUUUUUUUGAAGGAAGCAGAAAGGGCCAAUUAAUUUGGAGGUCACCCUGUAGGCCUAUGCAAAGACAAGCAUGCAUCGAUUGCAAGCAGUGGAGAAACCAAGCAAUAUGUAUGUACUUCUUGACAAUCUUAAUAUUUAUAAAUUGUCUCUUAGAGGGAGCACCUGUGCUUUACUGAAAAUUAGUUUUGAAAGUCUUUUGAAGUGAGAUUCUCACCAUAAUGAUUACAUUGGCAACGGCCCACAGGCAACUCGCUUGUAAUUUUUUUAAUCCAAGAUUCGGUCUGUUUGGCAUAGCUCGAGCUAUAAAGUCCAUGCUAGAGCUGAAGUCUGUAAAAUAGAUUAAAAUAUUUUAUAUUUUAUUUGAAAUUAUGAAUAAAAGUAUAAUGACUUAGCAAAA